rnacentral:rRNA from 1 species
UAGAGGAUACUUCGGCGUCGGCCCCGUUCUAAGUUCCUUGGAACAGGACGUCAUAGAGGGUGAGAAUCCCGUAUGCGGUCGGAAAGGUGCUCUAUACGUAGCUCCUUCGACGAGUCGAGUUGUUUGGGAAUGCAGCUCUAAGUGGGUGGUAAAUUCCAUCUAAAGCUAAAUAUUGGCGAGAGACCGAUAGCGAACAAGUACAGUGAUGGAAAGAUGAAAAGAACUUUGAAAAGAGAGUGAAAAAGUACGUGAAAUUGUUGAAAGGGAAGGGCUUGAGAUCAGACUUGGUAUUUUGCGAUCCUUUCCUUCUUGGUUGGGUUCCUCGCAGCUUACUGGGCCAGCAUCGGUUUGGAUGGUAGGAUAAUGACUAAGGAAUGUGGCUCUACUUCGGUGGAGUGUUAUAGCCUUGGUUGAUACUGCCUGUCUAGACCGAGGACUGCGUCUUUGACUAGGAUGUUGGCAUAAUGAUCUUAAGCCACCCGUCUUGAAACACGGACCAAGGAGUCUAACGUCUAUGCGAGUGUUUGGGUGUAAAACCCGUACGCGUAAUGAAAGUGAACGUAGGUGAGAGCUCUUAAGAGUGCAUCAUCGACCGAUCCUGAUGUCUUCGGAUGGAUUUGAGUAAGAGCAUAGCUGUUGGGACCCGAAAGAUGGUGAACUAUGCCUGAAUAGG